UACGGAGGGUGCAAGCGUUAAUCGGAAUUACUGGGCGUAAAGCGCACGCAGGCGGUUGAUUGCGUGAGAUGUGAAAACCCCGGGCUUAACCCGGGAAGUCCCUUUGAUACUGGUGAGCUAGAGCCUUGUAGAGGGGGGUAGAAUUCCCGGUGUAGUGGUGAAAUGCGUAGAGAUCGGGAGGAAGACCGACGGCGAAGGCGGCGGCCUGGACAAAGACUGACGCUCAGGUGCGAAAGCGUGGGGAGCAAACAGG
rnacentral:rRNA from 1 species